AAUAGAUACCCGGGUAGUCCACGCCGUAAACGAUGAGUGCUAGGUGUUAGGGGUUUCGAUACCCUUGGUGCCGAAGUAAACACAGUAAGCACUCCGCCUGGGGAGUACGGUCGCAAGACUGAAACUCAAAGGAAUUGACGGGGACCCGCACAAGCAGUGGAGUAUGUGGUUUAAUUCGAAGCAACGCGAAGAACCUUACCAGGUCUUGACAUCCCUCUGAAUCCUCUAGAGAUAGAGGCGGCCUUCGGGACAGAGGAGACAGGUGGUGCAUGGUUGUCGUCAGCUCGUGUCGUGAGAUGUUGGGUUAAGUCCCGCAACGAGCGCAACCCUUGAUUUUAGUUGCCAGCACUACGGGUGGGCACUCUAGAAUGACUGCCGGUGACAAACCGGAGGAAGGCGGGGAUGACGUCAAAUCAUCAUGCCCCUUAUGACCUGGGCUACACACGUACUACAAUGGCCGGUACAACGGGAAGCGAAGCCGCGAGGUGGAGCCAAUCCUAAAAAGCCGGUCUCAGUUCGGAUUGCAGGCUGCAACUCG
rnacentral:rRNA from 1 species